AAAAAAUCCGGGUGGCAAUGGGAAGCCGUGAUGCGGAGCGAAAUAAAGUAGUGAAGUCCGUGAGCCAUGCGUCAAGAAAAGCCGCUAUUGUUUAUACCGUACCCGUACCGUAAACCGACACAGGUGGAUGAGGAGAGAAUCCUAAGGCCGGCGGAAGAAGCAUUGUCAAGGAACUCGGCAAAAUGGCCCCGUAACUUAGGGAUAAGGGGUGCCUGGGAAACCAGGCCGCAGAGAAUAGGCUCAAGCAACUGUUUAGCAAAAACACAGGUCUAUGCGAAACCGAAAGGUGAGGUAUAUGGGCUGACGCCUGCCCGGUGCUGGAAGGUUAAGAGGAGAGGUUAGCGGUAACGCGAAGCUUUGAAUUUAAGCCCCAGUAAACGGCGGCCGUAACAAUAACGGUCCUAAGGUAGCGAAAUUCCUUGUCGGGUAAGUUCCGACCCGCACGAAAGGCGUAAUGAUUUGAGCGCUGUCUCGACAAUGCAUCCGGUGAAAUUGAAGUACCAGUGAAGAUGCUGGUUACCUGCGCCAGGACGGAAAGACCCCAUGGAGCUUUACUCCAGUCUGGUACUGGGACUCGGUAUUGCAUGUACAGGAUAGGUGGGAGGCUAGGAGAUGGUAACGCCAGUUGCCAUGGAGCCGCUGUUGGGAUACCACCCUUGCAGUAUUGGGUUUCUAACCAGCCGCCGUGACCCGGCGGUGGGACAAUGCCAGACGGGGAGUUUGACUGGGGCGGUCGCCUCCGAAAGGGUAUCGGAGGCGCCCAAAGGUUCCCUCAGAAUGGACGGAAACCAUUCGAAGAGUGCAAAGGCAGAAGGGAGCUUGACUGCGACACCGACGGGUGGAGCAGGUACGAAAGUAGGGCUUAGUGAUCCGGUGGUAUUAAGUGGGAAUGCCAUCGCUCAACGGAUAAAAGCUACCCUGGGAUAACAGGCUUAUCACUCCCAAGAGUUCACAUCGACGGAGUGGUUUGGCACCUGAUGUCGGCUCAUCGCAUCCUGGGGCUGUAGUAGGUCCCAAGGGUUGGGCUGUUCGCCCAUUAAAGCGGUACGCGAGCUGGGUUCAGAACGUCGUGAGACAGUUCGGUCCCUAUCCGGCGUGGGCGUAGGAUAUCUGAGAGGAGCUGUCCUUAGUACGAGAGGACCGGGAUGGACGGGCCGCUGGUGCAUCGGUUAGACUGCCAAGUCUACGGCCGAGUAGCCAAGCCCGGAAGGGAUAAACGCUGAAGGCAUCUAAGCGUGAAGCCCCCCUUAAGAUGAGAUAUCCCAUUCGAAAGAAGUAAACCCCCUUGAAGACGACGAGGUAGAUAGGGCAGAGGUGGAAGUGCAGCAAUGCAUGGAGCUGACUGUUACUAAUCGGGUGAGGGCUUGACCA
rnacentral:rRNA from 1 species